rnacentral:rRNA from 1 species
AGAUGGCGACCGGCGCACGGGUGAGUAACACGUAUCCAACCUGCCGAUAACUCGGGGAUAGCCUUUCGAAAGAAAGAUUAAUACCCGAUGGUAUAAUCAGACCGCAUGGUCUUGUUAUUAAAGAAUUUCGGUUAUCGAUGGGGAUGCGUUCCAUUAGGCAGUUGGUGAGGUAACGGCUCACCAAACCUUCGAUGGAUAGGGGUUCUGAGAGGAAGGUCCCCCACAUUGGAACAGAGACACGGUCCAA